UGAGGAAUAUUCGUCAAUGGGGGAAACCCUGAACGAGCAACGCCGCGUGCAGGAUGACGGUCUUCGGAUUGUAAACUGCUUUUUUCGAGGAAGAGUACGGACGGUACUCGAAGAAUCAGCCCCGGCUAACUACGUGCCAGCAGCCGCGGUAAUACGUAGGGGGCGAGCGUUAUCCGGAGUUACUGGGCGUAAAGCGUCCGCAGGCGGUCCGGUAAGUUUGAAGUGACAGUGCUCGGCUUAACUGAGUAAGUGCUUUGAAAACUGCCAGACUUGAGGGUCCGAGAGGAAGAUGGAAUUCCAGGUGGAGCGGUGAAAUGCGUAGAGAUCUGGAGGAACACCAAAGGCGAAGGCAAUCUUCUGGAGGACACCUGACGCUAAGGGACGAAAGCCAGGGGAGCGAA
rnacentral:rRNA from 1 species